ACGUAGGGUGCAAGCGUUAAUCGGAAAUACUGGGCGUAAAGCGUGCGCAGGCGGCUAUAAAAGACAGAUGGGAAAACCCCGGGCUCAAAAUUGGAAAUGCAUUUGUGACUGUAUAGCUAGAGUACGGCAGAGGGGGAUGGAAUUCCGCGUGUAGCAGUGAAAUGCGUAGAUAUGCGGAGGAACACCGAUGGCGAAGGCAAUCCCCUGGGCCUGUACUGACGCUCAUGCACGAAAGCGUGGGGAGCAAACAG
rnacentral:rRNA from 1 species